AUCUCAUGGACAGAGGAGCUUGGUGGGCUCUAGUGCAUGGGAUCGCAAAGAGUCAGACAUGCCUGUAGCAACUUAGAACAUAUAUAGAUUUUAAUGCAGACAUUUGUAAUUGAUAUUUCUAUAAGACUAACACAAUGUAGAGAAAUUCAGUUCAGUUUAGUCUCUCAGUCUUGUCCGACUCUUUGUCACCCAAUGGAUUGCAGUAAAGAAAUUGGCCGGGUGCUACAAGACAAAAGUAAAGAAUUUGCUCCAUCCCUCCCUUCUCUGCCCCCUGCCUAUGAGAGUUAUCUCCAGAGCCCUGAGUUGUUGGGAUCCCAGAAAAUCAUAGGCAACAAGAACAGUAUUGCGUGACCUGCAGAACUUCAACAGUUUGCUCUGACUAAAAUAAGGGUGACAUUCUACAUGUAGAAUGCCAACAGAGAAAAGCAUCAGUUUAUGUGGAAAGAUAAUACGACAGAGAAAGAACAAAAGUUUAAAAAAUACUAAAGGAAAUACCAGAACAUUAAAUAUGACCUGGAAAUAUCAACAUCAAGUAAUGAGCUUUUUAAUAAAAGACAUUUUAUACCUCUGUCUCUUGAAAAGGUGAAACAUUAUGACCUGUCUGAGAAUAAGCAGGGACCAGAUCUAUGCCUAAUUCCACAGUGGGACGGUACUCAACUGUUGCGCCUUGGACAUCCAACUAUGCAGAAAGCAAGAAUUUUCGAGGAUGGAGGUCAAGAUGGCAGAGUAGAUCCCACCUUCCCAUGAAUACAUCAAAAAGACAUCCACAUCCACGUGUCCAAGAGUUCUUACAGAGGACCUACCAAAUGCUGGCAGAUCUCGUACAACCAAAGCUACAAUAAAAUUGCUGUGGAACCAGUUGUGUGUCUGCAUGAUGCAUGGACCAGACCUCCCACAUCAGAGGGAAGACCUGCUUGACCUUGAAGAGCAACAGACUCCUAGCAUCAGUAAGACAGCUCCUUAAAAGAUAAAUUCCUUCUUGACCUUGUAAGGGGUCACAUGACCCACCAUGAUGAUGCUUAGAUCUGGAUUAUGUACACUGUCAAUAAUGUCUUUUCAUGCACAGCCCUCUGUCUCCAAAACUUACAUCCCUGUGCCUUGACUUCUGGAGGACACAACAGUUCUCAGGCCUUCUGAGAUGCUCUUCCUGGGUUAUAGUUCUCAAAUCUGACUCGAAUAAAAUUUUCCAUUUCUUUCUUAGA